rnacentral:rRNA from 1 species
UCCAGACUCCUACGGGAGGCAGCAGUGAGGAAUAUUGGUCAAUGGGAGAGAUCCUGAACCAGCCAAGCCGCGUGAGGGAAGACGGCCCUAUGGGUUGUAAACCUCUUUUGUCGGAGAACAAAACCCGGGACGUGUCCCGGACUGCGUGUAUCCGAAGAAAAAGCAUCGGCUAACUCCGUGCCAGCAGCCGCGGUAAUACGGAGGAUGCGAGCGUUAUCCGGAUUUAUUGGGUUUAAAGGGUGCGUAGGCGGUCGGAUAAGUUAGAGGUGAAAUCCCGAGGCUCAACUUCGGAAUUGCCUCUGAUACUGUUCGGCUAGAGAGUAGUUGCGGUAGGCGGAAUGUAUGGUGUAGCGGUGAAAUGCUUAGAGAUCAUACAGAACACCGAUUGCGAAGGCAGCUUACCAAGCUACUUCUGACGUUGAGGCACGAAAGCGUGGGGAGCAAACAGGAUUAGAUACCCCAGUAUU